GUCUACGGCAUUACCACCCUGAACGCUCCUGAUCUCGUCUGAUUUCAGAAGCUUAGCAGGGUAGGGCCUGGUUAGUAGUUGGAUGGGAGACCACCUGGGAACACCAGGUGCUGUAGGCU